AUGUACACAAACCGGGUAAUGGUUGUGUAAUUCAUAAAAAUUAUGAAUCCGGGUUGAGGAUUUUGAGUUGAUAAUGUAGUGAAAUAUUUUACGGACAAUUCGAACCAAGUUUCAACUGAAACGGAUGAGAAUUGAUCAAGUUACGCGAGUUUUCGUAACACAACAGCAGCAGCAAAAUAGCUGCAGAACAAGGCGUUGCCGACGCCCUGAAGGGCCGUCGCCGACGUUGUCUUGAAUUUUUUUAGGUUUCUGACGCGUUAAUACACUGCCUACGGCAGUUUAAUGUAGACACAAGAAUUAGAAGGCGUCGCCGACGCCAUAGAUGGUCGUCGCCUACACCAUCUGCUAUCUGAAACGUGCUGAAUUUUUGUUAUUUCGUAACAAGAGCUAUAUUAUACGUUCCUUUUUGGCAUUAUAACAAUAACUAAUUGCAAAUUUUUAGUCGUAGCUUACGGCUGGCAACUGUUGAUUGAAAUAGAACUUGUGUAUCGUAAGUUGCGGCACAUGUCUGUAGCUUGCGGUGGGAUAUGCAUGUAAUAAUUUGAAGUACCGGAUGACGAUCAAGCUCAACGAAGAACCGAACACGAUGAAAGUUCAAGCUUCCGUAUUAUGUU
rnacentral:lncRNA from 1 species